rfam:Rhizobium etli CFN 42 plasmid symbiotic plasmid p42d, complete sequence.
AGAAGGGCUUCCACGACGGCGACGUUGAGGGAGCUCUUUUCUUUUGC